rnacentral:rRNA from 1 species
UACGAAGGGGGCUAGCGUUGCUCGGAAUCACUGGGCGUAAAGGGCGCGUAGGCGGAUCUUUAAGUCCGGGGUGAAAGCCUGAGGCUCAACCUCAGAAUUGCCUUUGAUACUGAAGAUCUUGAGUCCGGAAGAGGUUAGUGGAACUGCGAGUGUAGAGGUGAAAUUCGUAGAUAUUCGCAAGAACACCAAUGGCGAAGGCGGCUCACUGGCCCGGUACUGACGCUGAGGUGCGAAAGCGUGGGGAGCAAACAGG